UGGGGAAUUUUGGACAAUGGGCGAAAGCCUGAUCCAGCAAUGCCGCGUGUGUGAAGAAGGCCUUCGGGUUGUAAAGCACUUUUGUCCGGAAAGAAAUCCUUGGCUCUAAUACAGUCGGGGGAUGACGGUGCCGGAAGAAUAAGCACCGGCUAACUACGUGCCAGCAGCCGCGGUAAUACGUAGGGUGCAAGCGUUAAUCGGAAUUACUGGGCGUAAAGCGUGCGCAGGCGGUUUGCUAAGACCGAUGUGAAAUCCCCGGGCUCAACCUGGGAACUGCAUUGGUGACUGGCAGGCUAGAGUAUGGCAGAGGGGGGUAGAAUUCCACGUGUAGCAGUGAAAUGCGUAGAGAUGUGGAGGAAUACCGAUGGCGAAGGCAGCCCCCUGGGCCAAUACUGACGCUCAUGCACGAAAGCGUGGGGAGCAAACAGGAUUAGAUACCCUGGUAGUCCACGCCCUAAAACGAUGUCAAACUAGUUGUUGGGGAUUCAUUUCCUUAGUAACGUAGCUAACGCGUGAAGUUGACCGCCUGGGGAGUACGGUCGCAAGAUUAAAAGCUCAAAAUGAAUUG
rnacentral:rRNA from 1 species